rnacentral:rRNA from 1 species
GACGAACGCUGGCGGCGCGCUUAACACAUGCAAGUCGUGCGGUGUCGAAGGCAAGUCUUACGACAAGCCUUCGACACAGCGGCGAACGGGUGAGUAACACGUGAGUAGCUGUCCUAAGGAGGGGGAUAACGCCUGGAAACGGGUGCUAACACCCCAUAUGCCUCGCAAGAGGUGAAAGUGUACUUGCUACAGCCUUAGGGUGUGCUCGCGGCCUAUCAGCUAGUUGGUGAGGUAACGGCUCACCAAGGCUAAGACGGGUAGCCGGCCUGAGAGGGUGUACGGCCACACUGGAAUUGAGAUACGGUCCAGACUCCUACGGGAGGCAGCAGUGGGGAAUCUUGGGCAAUGGGCGAAAGCCUGACCCAGCGACGCCGCGUUGGGGAUGAAGCCCUUCGGGGCGUAAACCCAUGUUUAGGGGACGAAGAAAGUGACGGUACCCUACGAGAAAGCCCCGGCCAACUACGUG